GCAGUGCAGCUAUAGUGAAAACACUAAGAAACAUUGGUGCUGUUGCAUGAGAAUCUGGAGGCUAUCACUGCACUGGAUUUCAGCAAUUUCUCUUAAUUCUGCAGUAACCUGAGCUCUUACAUCAUAGAGUAGAUCUAAAACUAAUUAGAACAAAAUUCUAAGUCUCAAGUGAUGAUGCAUCCUGUGUCUACAGAGUCCAGAAUGAGAGGGUUGAAUAAAACAUACUAUUUUUGUAGAAACCUAAUUAUAUGAAGGGAAAUCCAUUUUAGUGUAUUUGAGAAAAUGUAUCCUCCACUUCUGGUUUUCUAUUUUGGUUUAGUUAUUACACGGUGAGUUCCCAACAUCCACAGGAAGAUGAUUAAGAAUUCAGAACUGAUUAUUCCAUGGUGGUCCAGUUGAGUUACUGAUGGUAAUCAAAAGACCCACAGGUCCCAUAGAAUCCACAGACUUCUUUGUCUAUGAACCUUAGAAGCUUUUGACAUAUCUGCAAAACCUCUGGCAGCAGUGUAAUGCUUAUGGCAUUUAUUUUACAGAUAGGGAGGAAGGCCCAGCGCAGCCAUUGCUGACCAGUGGCAACCAGCAAAUGCUCAGCAGAACAGAGGUAAAGGGCAGUGCUGCCUCUGGUCAAGAAGCACUGCUCUUCUUAUCCACUGCAUUGCUCAGGAACCACUACUUGCAUUCCUGUUGGCCUCACAGAGAACAGGGCUGAAUUAUCAAAUAAUAACCAGCAGAGGCACAAUUCUCUGGGUUAAGUUGAACUCACAGCAGAUAGGUACUAACAGAAGGUGGUUUUAAUACUGCCGUCCCAUUCCUGCCUUUGCACAAUUUCUGCCUCUUGUGAAAUGGGUCUGGUUUUUCUUGGAUCCCUUUUUGAUUUGUCUGAGCUCAUUAAUAUGGCAGAAAAGAAAAGUAGAGAAAAUAAAAGGGCAUAGUUUUCUGCCAAGAAGCUGAAUUGGCUUACUUACAGUGACGAGUGCCAGAGCUGGUGCAAGAGCAGAAAUUGCCACAGCUACGAGAAUGGGAAAGGCUAAGAGCAAGUAGCAGAUGGUGUGGAGGAGACGAAGGACUGGAUGAAAUAUCAGCAACCGCAAGCUUUAUUAUUGCUGCUGCUUAAGGACCUUCAACCUCCAUGUCAUCAAAUCAAAUGUUAGCUGCCUGCCAGGAAAUUCUGGAGUUAUGAACAGAUACAUUAUUGUCAAGAAAAACUGAACUACACUGUCUGUUUUUUACUACACUGCUAUUUUCAAUUUUAUGUAUGUUUACAUCAUAUAUCACAGUACUUGUGUUUCUCUAUCAUAAAACCAGUGGAAGAGCUUAGUUUUGUCUAAAAGUUUUGUCUUCUGGAAAUUCUUUAUGACCUAGUUAUAUCUUAAGGCAAAGCAAGGAUUGCUAUCAGUAGCUAGAAUUCCUUGGGGCUGAUAGAUAGUGAAUGAGGAGAGGCUGAGACUCUUCUGUUUGCUCAGCUGUGAAACAAGAAGGCUUGGAGACAUCUUACUGCUGUCUGUAUUGAGUGGUGGGAGAGAUGGAGGGGAUGGGUCCGGUCUUUUCUCUGUUGUGGUAGUGGGACAAAGAAGAACAGACACCAAUCAGAACACAUGAAAUUCUGAGCUGAUAUAAGGAAAGACUGGAUGUGGCUCUGGGCAGCCUGGUCUGGUUGUUGGCAACCCUGCAUAUGUUGUCUUAAAUACCCAACUCAACAAUAUCUCUGUAUGAGAGUGAGUGUUAGUAAUGGGGACAAAUGCUACGUGUCAGAAGGGAUACCCCAUCUGAAAAACAGACUUGUUGGGCUGACCUUCUACAUGUGCCUGAGUGUUGGCUACUUUGCAAGCACAGCUGCUGAUAAUCGAGCUGGUUUCUUCCAUACAUAAGUCACCAAGGACUCAGAAGUGAUGGAAAUAUCAGUCUCAGAUUUCAUGAUAUGAAGAAAUGUCUCACCAGAAGCAGAGUGUAGAAACAUGCCUUUGUUUCUGUUUCUGACAACUGAGGGAUAUGUAGAAAUUGCUAGUAGAUUAGUAGUAGCUCUAUUCCUCAACCUAAGCAGAUCAAAAUAAAGUAAAAAAAACUUGGAGCAAAACCUGCUAUGGCAGUUGGAUAGUACAGACUUAAGAGGAGAUGUUUUUUUUUCCUGCAUUUACAGCUCUAAUCUCUAUGCAUUUUUGAGUUUUCUAGCAGUUUCCCCAAAUGAAAGUUCUACCACAGUCAGGACUGAAGAAGUUUAACAGCUUGUGUGAGAAGAAUCUGUGCAGUGAUAGAGUCUGAGUCCUAGGAAGAGGAGAACCCCUGACAGUCCUAUCCUCGAUGCCAGAGUUCCUGACAUCUCUGCCUUCCACUGCUCAGAAGGGAACACUGACAAGUAUUUUCCUAAAAGCAUGGAUGGAGAGAUGUGAAGUGUCAGAUAUGAUUCGAAAGGAUUGCUGACGACUGAAUCGUGCAGAAAACCCGAGAAUACAUACUGCCUUCAGUGUUAAUGGCAGAGUAGAAGCCUACCCUAGAGCCUCCUCAAUGGAUGACCAAAGAAUUUCAAGCAACAUCCAGGAGAAGUUCUGGGAUGAGAGGUUGGAUAAGAUCUUAGCUUGACUGAUGAUUCCUGGAGCCAGGAGCAGAAAUAGACUGAUUCAGAGUACGGAUCUUUUCUAGUUCUGAGGUCUGACACUGACGUGAUGGCACACACCAGUAGCUAUUCAUGAAGCUUGUGCUCUCUAUUUUGGAGUGCCCGAUGUGCAAAGCAACGCUGACAGACAAUUAAAACACACAGGUUUCUCCCUGAGAUAGAAAAACUCACUUGCCUUCUAAGCUGUCAAAAACACCUCACUGAGGACACUGAAAUGAACAUCAAUCUUUUAGAACUUCA